rnacentral:rRNA from 1 species
CAGCCGCCGCGGUAAUACGAAGGGGGCUAGCGUUGCUCGGAAUGACUGGGCGUAAAGGGCGCGUAGGCGGCGGCCAAAGUCAGGCGUGAAAUUCCUGGGCUCAACCUGGGGGCUGCGUUUGAUACUUGGUUGCUUGAGUGGGGAAGAGGGUCGUGGAAUUCCCAGUGUAGAGGUGAAAUUCGUAGAUAUUGGGAAGAACACCGGUGGCGAAGGCGGCGACCUGGUCCUUUACUGACGCUGAGGCGCGAAAGCGUGGGGAGCAAACAGGAUUAGAUACCCCAGUAGUCCCUGUCUCUUAUAC